AUUGAACGCUAGCGGGAUGCUUUACACAUGCAAGUCGAACGAGUGGCGGACGGGUGAGUAAUAUAUCGGAAUGUGCCCAAUGGAGGGGGAUAACUACUCGAAAGUGUGGCUAAUACCGCAUACUAUAGGAGCGGCCGAUAUGGGAUUAGCUAGUGGGUGGGGUAAAGGCUCACCAAGGCAACGAUCCCUAGCUGGUUUGAGAGGAGGACCAGCCACACUGGGACUGAGACACGGCCCAGACUCCUACGGGAGGCAGCAGUGGGGAAUUUUGGACAAUGGGGGAAACCCUGAUCCAGCCAUCCCGCGUGUAUGAGAAGGCCUUCGGGUUGUAAAGUACUUUUGGCAGAGAAGCGGUAUCUGCAGAAUAAGCACCGGCUAACUACGUGCCAGCAGCCGCGGUAAUAC
rnacentral:rRNA from 1 species